rnacentral:rRNA from 1 species
GCUAUGCAUCCAACGCGUUGGGAGCUCUCCCAUAUGGUCGACCUGCAGGCGGCCGCGAAUUCACUAGUGAUUCGUAUUACCGCGGCUGCUGGCACGUAGUUAGCCGGUGCUUAUUCUUCAGGUACCGUCAUUAGCCAAGGGUAUUAUCCUCAGCCGUUUCUUCCCUGACAAAAGAGCUUUACAACCCGAAGGCCUUCUUCACUCACGCGGCAUUGCUGGAUCAGGCUUGCGCCCAUUGUCCAAAAUUCCCCACUGCUGCCUCCCGUAGGAGUCUGGACCGUGUCUCAGUUCCAGUGUGGCUGGUCGUCCUCUCAGACCAGCUACUGAUCGUCGCCUUGGUAGGCCUUUACCCUACCAACUAGCUAAUCAGAUAUCGGCCGCUCCACAAGCAUGAGGCCCGAAGGUCCCCCACUUUCAUCCGUAGAUCGUAUGCGGUAUUAGCGUAACUUUCGCUACGUUAUCCCCCACUUCUGGGUACGUUCCGAUAUAUUACUCACCCGUUCGCCACUCGCCGCCAGGUUGCCCCGCGCUGCCGUUCGACUUGCAUGUGUAAAGCAUGCCCCCAGCGUUCAAUCUGAGCCAUGAUCAAACUCUAAUCGAAUUCCCGCGGCCGCCAUGGCGCCCGGGAGCAUGCGAC